UGUUGCUCUACACUAUCACAUAAUACAAGGCCACUAUAGAACAGCUUCUGCCUAAACUUCAGUAACAGACUGUUCCUUUUGGGUUUGAAGAAUGAGAUGUUAUCUAAUUUUAAUAUAUAAACACAAAUCCAGAUGCUAUGGAUAGGAAGUGUGACCUGGCUAGCUCCACAGUUAUGUUUGUUGAUUAAUUGAUUGAUCAACAAACAAAAACCUGUUUGCUUGAAAAAACCUCCCAAAAUGCUUCCUUUUAACACGAGUUACUUGCAGCUACUAUUUUAAAUGUGUUGAUGACACACCUAUUUAUUAUCUAUACAUGCUGCCUCCAUCCCUAAAUAAAACAGGGCUGCAGGUGUUCCUUUUCAGCAGAAAAUCCAGUGGCAUCACUCCAGCCUUGUAUCCAGCUGUUUCGCUUUAGUCUGAAGGCCCUCCUGUCUUCUAUAAUAUUUCUACUGAAACUAAUAUCCCUCUUUUGUGUUAGGUCUUUUUCUCUCUCUCCUGU